rnacentral:misc_RNA from 1 species
UGAACUCUCAAAGCCCACGGCUUGGUGUUGGACGGUUUGGUGGAGGCCCCCUCGGGGGCUCCUGCCCCUCCCAAAGACAAUGACGGCGGCCUCGUUGGACCCCCGGUACACUGAGUUCUUCACGGGACACGUAUCGGACACAUGGGUUUACGGGACACGGUCUGCCUCCCCUCAGGGAGAAUCUUUCUAA